rnacentral:rRNA from 1 species
UCGCGAAAACUUCGCAAUGGGAGCAAUCCCGACGAGGGGAUUCCAAGUGCCAGCACUUAGUGUUGGCUGUUCUCCUGUCUAAAAAACAGGAGAAGUAAGGGCCGGGUAAGACGGGUGCCAGCCGCCGCGGUAAUACCCGCGGCCCGAGUGGUGGUCGAUAUUAUUGAGCCUAAAACGUCCGUAGCCGGUCUCGCAAAUCCCUGGGUAAAUCGGCCAGCUUAACUGUCCGAACUCCGGGGAGACUGCGAGGCUUGGGACCGGGAGAGGUCAGAGGUACUUCCAGGGUAGGGGUAAAAUCCUGUAAUCCCGGAAGGACCACCGGUGGCGAAGGCGUCUGACUAGAACGGAUCCGACGGUGAGGGACGAAGCCCUGGGGCGCAAACGGGAUUAGAUACCCCGGUAGUCCAGGGUGUAAACGCUGCGGGCUUGGUGUUGGGGGUCCUUUGAGGGCGCCCAGUGCCGGAGAGAAGUUGUUAAGCCUGCUGCUUGGGGAGUACGUCCGCAAGGAUGAAACUUAAAGGAAUUGGCGGGGGAGCACCGCAACGGGAGGAGCGUGCGGUUCAAUUGGAUUCAACG